GUUGUAAUUUAUUAAAUACAAGUGUGUUCCAAAAUGAUAAAUGGUGGAAGUGAGUUAAUGCUAAUAAAUGCAUGAGAUAACUCUUCAUGAAUUUUGAAUUUUGAAUUUUGAACUUUGAAUUUUGAAUUCGGAGAUUGUAACUCUUCAUGAGAUGUUGCAAAGGCGAAACCAUGCAACUGUUGGUGAAACAUGCUGCAGGUCAACCAUUAUGAUUAUUGGAAAAGGACAUUGCUUUACCAAGGGUCGCUAUCUUAUGAAACAAUAUCAACAUGGCCUAUAAAAGCAUAAAUCCGGAUUCAGAAUACAACACACAAAAUCCGAAAAUUCUCUAUAUAAUUCCAAAUGCUCUUCGUUGCAUUCGGGUUUUCGCCGGUCUUGCACAAACUCGAUAAGGCUGAAUUAUCCUGGGUAUUCCUGCAUCAGAACUCUAAGACAAUCGAGAGUGCUUGAAAUACUAUAAGGAAAGUGUUGCAUUCACGAUUCAAGCCUGGAUUCCUUUAAUCUUUUCAAAAUUUCUAACAAUCUUAUAGUACUUUCAAAUAAUGGUUAUCAAGGCUACAGUUUCAAGCAUAAAAAAGAAAGACUCAAGAAAGAACACAAGAAGAAUCGGUACUACGAAAUCUGAUAUGAUUUUAUUAUUCUUCAUAUUAAUUAGAGCACCGUGAAAAUCAUGAUAUCAAGAUCUAAAUAUAAAAGUUUUCUAUCAAUUAGGAUCAGAGUCAGAUUAUUGAUAUUGUGACUUUUUGAUAAUAACUAAUUGAUAUGAUUUUGAAUUAGAUUUCUUUAAUAACUAUAAUAUUACUUAAUUUAAUGGUUUUCAUGAUUUUUUAUAGAAAAGCAAUAUCUGUAUCAUGAUUUUCCAUUUAUUGGACAAAUUAUUACAUAUUGAUGGUUGAAUGAUAUGCAUCUGACAAUACAUGAAUAAAUCAUGAUUACGCAAUUAUAUUAUACUUGAUUAUGUAACCUAUUUUCCAUAUGAAUAGAAAUUGAAGGUUUGAAUGAUAUGCAUCUGACAAUACAUGAAUAAAUCAUGAUUACGCAAUUAUAUUAUACUUGAUUAUGUAACCUAUUUUCCAUAUGAAUAGAAAUUGAAGGGUCUUGGACAUAAUAGGAAGAAAUAUAUACAUUUCCACAUUGGUAUUGUACAUAAUAGAAAAGUUUUCAUUCCAGUAUGGGAUAUGAAAUUCAUGAUAUGUAAAUUUGUUCCAUGAUAGAAGUGCAUGACAAUAUGUUGUUUUACUUUAAGAAAUAGAGAAACAUGUUAUGCCCUUUGAAGGAAACAAAUUUAUAUAUACAGUUUUAAAAGGUUUUACAAUAUAAACAUAUAACGGGUUCUAUGUUGUCUUCUUCCGGCAUAUCAAUUGCCAUACGGUGCCUUAUUUUGGUGACAUAUAAAUACUACUUAUUAUAUGUAUAUUAUAUGUAUGUUGCAUAACAAUUCAAGUUGGUAUGAGAUUAUUUUUUAAAAAUACGGGAUGUUCCUUUGUUUAUUUUUAAAAUUAAUUUGUAUAAAGGAUAAUUUGUGAUUCAAUAAGGUAUGUAAAGAUUAUUCAAAGAUGAAUCAUGACUUAUAUAAACUUUUGAAUUUGGAAGAGUCCUAAUGUGACUAUUGAUUCUAAUAUAUGAAAUUUUUGAGAACUUAUCACAAGAAUAAGGAAUUUGAAUAUUCCUACAAGAAGACCCUUGUGAAGGAGGGUUCUUCCACAUAUUGUGAAACACAAACCAAAAUUUUCUUCAUGGAUUGCUGAAACAUAAUCCUAAAUUAGAAUAAGAAAGAGAGUCUGAAAGGCUAAGGAUCUAGGAUCAAACAAAAUUGAUAAUCAAUUUAUUUCUUUUAUCUAAUGGAAGGAAAUAGUAAGAAUUUUGUUCAUAGGAUUCUUAUUAUUCUUCAAGUGGAAGAUGAUCCUAUGACUUAAAAGGAAGGAAUCAACAACUUCAAGGGACUCAUCUUAUUUAGAAGGAAGUAUCAUAUUGUGAUGGUACACUAAAAACCUACAAGUCUAGAUUAAUGACCAAUGGUAUUUUAAAUAAAAAAAUGUGUUUAUCAUUUGAUACAUAUGCACUAAUAGCAAGCACAACAAAAUUAGAGCAUUGUUUGCAUUAGCUUCUUUGCAUGACUUUAUAGUUCAUGAAAUGGAUGUCAAAAUGAAAUUUUAAUAUGGAGAUCUCGAUGACGAGAUUUACAUGAAUCAACCAUAAGGUUAUGAAUAAAAGGUAUGAAAGCUUGUCAAAUCCUUGUAUGAAUUCAAACAAGCACCGAAACAAUGAUAUCAAAAGUUUGACAAUGUCAUAGUAAGAUUCACCAAUUAAUUAGGGGAGACACACAACUUAAGAGGAGACAAUAUUUUGUCAUCAUCAAAAGGGGGGAGAUUGUGAGGAAUAAAUCUUAUAUCUAGUUCAAUUUUGAUGAAGACAAAGAUUAUCAAAGGAGAAAAGGUUCAAAAGGUUCAUGCACAUCAAUGAUGAAGUUAAUUCAGAAAGUUGAACAUAGAAAUUCAAGUGAAGAUUUGAGACAAGUGAACAUAACUAAGGUACUCGUUGAAAUUUAUAUUAUACUAAUUUAAAUUGCUCAUAAUUUCAUUUCUCACUUCAUCUAAAAACCUUCUUACAUCAUCAUGCAUGAUUAUCUAAAAACAUUAUUCAUCUAAUUCUUGUUACAAGUGUUUGUACACAAAGUUGUGUGAGAAUAUUGUGAUAUUCACUUGUAUUCAUGUUGAUUAUAUGAUUGAUCAUUAGCAACAAGAUGAAUGGAAUUUUAGAAACAAAGAGGUUUCAAACUUUCAUAUUCAAGAUGAAUGAUCUUGGACUAGUUGACACAUUUUUGGGGAUUAAAGUAAAGUGAAAUAGUGGGGGUUGUGAACUUAGUCAAACACAUUAUAUUGAGAAAAUGUUGGAAAAGUUCAAACACCUAAACUUUAAGGAAGUAAACACUCCAUUCGAUCCUAGUGUCAAACUUCAAAGGAACAAUGGGAGAACCGUGGCACAACUGGAAUAUGCAAGUGCAAUUGGAUGUCUAAUGUACUUAAUGCAAUGCACCAGACCUGACAUAGCUUUUGCAGUUAGUAAGAUGAGUACAUUUACUAGCAAUCCAAAUGAUGAACAUUGGAAGGCCAUAACUAGGAUUUUCGGAUAUUUGUUAAAGACCAAAAAUCUUGGCCUUCAUUAUGGUAAGUUUCCUUCCAUACUAGAAGGAUAUACCGACGCAAGUUGGAUAUCAAGUGUUGGAGAUUAUAAAUCUACAACUGGGUGGAUAUUCACAUUAGGUGGAGGUGCGAUUUCUUGGAAAAGUAAGAAACAAACAUGCAUUACUCUCUCAACCAUGGAAUUAGAGUUUGUGGCUCUUGCGUCUGCUGGACAAGAAGCAGAAUGGUUGAGGGACCUCUUAUUGGAGGUUCCGUUAGCUAAAGACAAUGUUUCAAAAGUAUUAAUACAUUGUGAUAGUCAAGCCACCCUGGCUAGAGCGUUCAGUGAAAUGUACAAUGGAAAGUCUAGACACAUAGGUCUUAGACACUCUCUCGUGAGAAAAAUGAUAAAGGAUGGGAUCAUUUCACUAACAUAUAUACAAACAAGCUAUAAUUUGGCUGAUCCAUUUACUAAACCACUGGCCAGAGAUUUAGUAAAGACUACCUCGAAAGGUAUGGGAUUAAAACUCCUUGAAUAAGGGUUCUGACAAUGAUAGCAACCCAAUCUGAAGUUAACACAUCUUAACCUAAGAUUCAAUGGGUAACAACAAGUCGUUGAUUCAGAAGGUUAUGCAACAUUCUACGAUAAUGUUGAUGAUUACAAACUGAGGGUUGAGUUUUCAAAGAAACUCUUAAUGAAGUUCUAUAUCAAGGAGGAUACGUAUCUCAAGAAAUAGAUAUGAAUUGAACUUCACCUAUAUGAAUUUCAAGAUGGUGUCGUCUUAAGGUGAGAGUUGGAGUUUCUCUCAUGAAAAAUUCAUGAAAACACGAAAAGCACAUGGCCAUAAAUAGUGCUAGGCGAGAUAUGUAGGCGAAGAACCUCUAAAAGUGUGUGUAUAGCAACGCCGGUCUGAUCACAUGGGAUAAUGGUUCAAAGCAUAGCUACCUAACUUUCCGAUUAGGCUUUGCGUUGUCUUUACUAAGGUUAAGUUCAAAUCGAAAGAUACCUAACUGUAUUAACACUUUUUGCUUUCUAUAUUCUGGAAUUGGAUUUGUCAUUAUUAGAACAAGUGGGGGAUUGUUGUAAUUUAUUAAAUACAAAUGUGUUCCAAAAUGACAAAUGGUGGAAGUGAGUUAAUGCUAAUAAAUGCAUGAGAUAACUCUUCAUGAAUUUUGAAUUCGGAGAUUGUAACUCUUCAUGAGAUGUUGCAAAGGCGAAACCAUGCAACUGUUGGUGAAACAUGCUGCAGGUCAACCAUUAUGAUUAUUGGAAAAGGACAUUG
rnacentral:lncRNA from 1 species